rnacentral:rRNA from 1 species
GGGUCGUUGGGCUAGGUGUGGGGACCAUUCCACGGUUUCCGCGCCGCAGCUAACGCAUUAAGUGCCCCGCCUGGGGAGUACGGCCGCAAGGCUAAAACUCAAAGGAAUUGACGGGGGCCCGCACAAGCGGCGGAGCAUGCGGAUUAAUUCGAUGCAACGCGAAGAACCUUACCAAGGCUUGACAUGUUCUCGAUCGCCGUAGAGAUACGGUUUCCCCUUUGGGGCGGGAUCACAGGUGGUGCAUGGUUGUCGUCAGCUCGUGUCGUGAGAUGUUGGGUUAAGUCCCGCAACGAGCGCAACCCUCGUUCCAUGUUGCCAGCACGUAGUGGUGGGGACUCAUGGGAGACUGCCGGGGUCAACUCGGAGGAAGGUGGGGACGACGUCAAAUCAUCAUGCCCCUUAUGUCUUGGGCUUCACGCAUGCUACAAUGGCCGGUACAAUGGGUUGCGAUACUGUGAGGUGGAGCUAAUCCCAAAAAGCCGGUCUCAGUUCGGAUUGGGGUCUGCAACUCGACCCCAUGAAGUCGGAGUCGCUAGUAAUCGCAGAUCAGCAACGCUGCGGUGAAUACGUUCCCGGGCCUUGUACACACCGCCCGUCAAGUCACGAAAGUCGGUAACACCCGAAGCCGGUGGCCUAACCCUUGUGGGGGGAGCCGUCGAAGGUGGGACCAGCGAUUGGGACUAAGUCGUAACAGGUAAACGGUAAAGCCG